CCUACGGGUGGCAGCAGUGAGGAAUUUUGGUCAAUGGACGAGAGUCUGAACCAGCCAAGUAGCGUGAAGGAUGACUGCCCUAUGGGUUGUAAACUUCUUUUAUAUGGGAAUAAAACGUUCCACGAGUGGGAUUUUGUAUGUACCAUAUGAAUAAGGAUCGGCUAACUCCGUGCCAGCAGCCGCGGUAAUACGGAGGAUCCGAGCGUUAUCCGGAUUUAUUGGGGUUAAAGGGUGCGUAGGUGGAUUGUUAAGUCAGUUGUGAACGUUUGCGGCUCAACCGUAAAAUUGCAGUUGAUACUGGCAGUCUUGAGUACAGUAGAGGUGGGCGGAAUUCGUGGUGUAGCGGUGAAAUGCUUAGAUAUCACGAAGAACUCCGAUUGCGAAGGCAGUUCACUGGACUUCAACUGACACUGAGGCUCGAAGGUGUGGGUAUCAAACGGGAUUAGAUACCCGAGUAGUC
rnacentral:rRNA from 1 species